UACGAGGGGUGCAAGCGUUGCUCGGAAUCAUUGGGCGUAAAGGGUAGGUAGGUGGUCUCAUUUGUCAGGGGUGAAAGCCUUGGGCUUAACCCGAGAAGUGCCCCUGAAACGGUGAGACUGGAGUCCUGGAGAGGGUCGUGGAAUUCCCGGUGUAGCGGUGAAAUGCGUAGAGAUCGGGAGGAACACCAGAGGCGAAGGCGGCGACCUGGACAGGUACUGACACUCAACUACGAAAGCGUGGGGAGCAAACAGG
rnacentral:rRNA from 1 species